CGCUCCGGCUGACGCGGCUGUUUCCGCAACCAGAGCAGCGGGCGGAGUCUCGCAACCUGGGCCGCGAGGUUCUAGUCUCGGCUGCCCAGCUCCUCGAGGUCUGCAGGGGGUUCGGGGACGCUUGGUGGCGCUAGGAACUGGGACGCUCUGAGGAUCCGUGGAAGCGAGGCGAGAGCAUCCGGAAAGCUCUAUUCCGCUCAGAGCUCCGAGGCAGCCUGAUCAAUUGUUAGAUUCGCCAGGGCUGGGGUUCCUGGUGACAGCCGCCGGAGACUGUGAUGUCACGGGGAAAGCCGAACUACACGGGCUGGAUUCGACUCAGCGGUCCAGUCUUCAUUUGCGUUAGCACAUCGUUGCCGAUGGCCUGUCUUUUCAUUAGGCUUCUGUAUCUUAUGCUCCCCAGUGCACACAACUUUGUGCCCGAUGAUGUAACUUUUCUUAUUCUUGACUUCUGAUUAGCAGCUUACCUUGUGACUCGUGGCUGGCUCCGGAAGACCAGGGGAGAAAGCAGUAGGCAACAAUUUCUUUCUUUUUUAAGAAACAGAUUAUUAGCUGCAGAGACAUCACUUUCUGCGCUAACAAGCAACAAAUGCUGAGAAGAAAAAAGCAAGUAGCCUGUAUAAAUGGAAACAUAAAGGAACGAAAUGGAGCAGAGAUCAGUUCUGCCUGGUUACACAGAGAUGCAGUCCCACAGCCUUGGUUGGCUGAACACAAGUCACAAGCUCCCAACAGUUUAAAAUCCUCUCAAGGACUUCAGCAGAAUCUAGGGGAGCCCAAGCGUGUCUGAGAACAGCGCUGGAUUUCUUGGUGGGGAUAUGAACUGUGGCUUGAUACACAAGUUAUCCUGUCUUUAAGUGUGAGUGAGAUGAUUUAUGACUUCAUUUACACCUCACCUCCUUCGAGAUUUCGCCACAGGACACAUCACGGCUCUCAGAAUUGGGAUGGAAGAAAAAAAUGCAGCUGUUGCAAGUAUCAAAUAGGAACAUACUGGUGAGAACUUUUUGCACACUCUAAUGCAAUAUGUAAAAGGUAUAUUGUAUGUUGAUUUUCACAUAGAAAUAAAGAUGACUCCUGUUUUAUUAAAGACUGUUCUGUAUGGAUCAAGUCAUGAUACAAGAUCAGCUCUGUUAUUUCUAUAUUGCAUAAUAAACAAGUUCCUCUGUAUUUAA